rnacentral:lncRNA from 1 species
GGAAGAGGAAAAAGGGAGGCGAUAGAAAAAAAGGGAGACAUCAGCAAGCCACGGAGAUUUCCCUGGUUUGUAGGACCGGACGAUUUACAUUGAGUAAGGGGGUGUAAGUGAAACAAAUAUGCUUCUCGUCAAGACGAUCAGAUAGAACAACUAAAAAUAUCGGGGUACAGUUUUAUACGGAAUGCUUAUUAUCCUUCUUAAGAUGACCAUAAUGACAGUGGUAUUCCCAGAACGUUCGGAAUGGAAUAUGGGGAUUGGAGGGGUGGGGUAUUCCAUCUUCAGCAUCUUCUAUGUUAAUACUCGGUCUACUGAAACUGCUUUUUAAUUUCAUAAUCAAACCACAGGACAAUGGCAACGUAUUUAAAUUUAAGGAUUCCCUAUGUGCUUUUAUUUGAUUGUGCAAGAUUUUUCUACCCUAGUUGAGCAAACCUGGUUUAAUAUCUAGGUCAAUGUGCAUUGUGCAGUUGGCAGCACAAUAAGUGUUUACCUGAUUUUCUCAUUUAUUUGCAGUUCCUUUUUCCUGGACUAUGUAUCAGUGUUGAUAGCAGUACUACAAAACAUAGGAUUGCAUGAAAAGGAUUGCUUUCAGUGAACGUUUUUACAACUAAGCUUUCAGUAUCAAAAUUAUUCCUCGAUUAAGAGUGG